rnacentral:lncRNA from 1 species
UUAUAUGCGCACGCCAAUUUAUUACAUAAUAUUAACUGAUUCUUAUUUAUUUAAUAUAUAAUUAUUAUUUUAUUAUUUCAUAUAUGCAGAAAGCAUAAAAUAAGUAAUAAAUAUAAAAUAUUUAUUCUACGCAAAACGCGGAUCUUAACCUAAGUAUCUAUCUUUUUAAUCAUUUUAAAUCUUAGACAUUUUCUAUAUUUCAGACCAAAACAAAAGAACAAAAUGAGAAUAAAUUCAAAAAUCAAUAUUUAUAUCAAGCAAUAAUCAAAAUGAAAAAAAAACAAUACAAAAAAAGAGAAACAAUUAAAGAUAGAUAGGAUUGGCACGUGAACGUGAACUCUUCAAACUAUAAUUAACUUUUAAAUUACUAAAUCAUGAUAUAAAAUCGAGCUAACAUAGUUUCAUUGUAACCAAAUAGUAGGUUUGAGAUUCUUUGGCCUAAACGUUAGGUUCUUAUAAGUGAUUUUUUGACCAAAAUAUUUUUAAAAAUGAGAACAGUUAAUCAAUAAACAAAUUAUGUAAUUAACAAAAAAAAUUUUAAAAAAUGUUUAAGAGCCAAAAAUAUGAAUUCGAUCAAGAAUGUAAAUAUUAUUUUUCUAUACGAUAUUUUUAAAUAAUUUUUAUAUAAAUUCACCAUGCCCAAGGCGCAAACACCUAGUUUAGAAAGUAAAAUCAAAUACUUCACCAAAGUUAUAGUUUCUUUUCUUUAACUUCUAUGUUACCGGAUACAGACGUUGAGAGUGACGGAAACAGAAAAACCAACUGAAGUGAACUCCGAAGAGGUCGACGUACGGUGUCAAGACAAAAAGCAAUUAAAGAACUGUCUACAUAUUAUUACCACCACUGUUCACCGUCCAUUAUCAUGGACACAAAACAUCUGUC